UAAAAAAUAAAAAUUAAAUUAAUAUUAAAAAAAUUAAUUAUCCCGGAAAUAAUUUUAAACGGACAAAUUUUUUUAAAGACCGUUUUAAUUUGUAAAAUUUACGAGCCCAAAAUAUUUGCCCACGUAAAAUAAAAUAAAAUAAUACAAAUAAUUAAAAAACGAUAUUUUUGGGAGGGUAUAAAUUAAACCAUUUGGAAAUAUAUUAAAAAUUGUUAUAAUUGCGAGCGAAAUAAAAAUAAAUACGAUAAAACCCCGGGCCUAUUAUAUUCGCUACCGAUACCGAAUUACGUUUGGAAAUAUAUAGCAAUUAAUAGAAAAAAUAUACCCAAAAACAAAUUCGGAUAUAAUUACGUAUGGAUAUUCGUUUGCAAAUUUAAUCGCCUAAUAAUUAUUAUUCCGGACCAAAAAACCAAUAUAAUAAAAAUCCUGGCCUCCCAAUAUUAUUAAUAUUUAUACCGUUUCCUAAAAUUAUUUUUCGUUUGGAUUAGCAAUAACGCCGGGCCGUUUAUUUCCGAAUUUAUAACGACGAUAAAUAAAUUUACGGGUAUUAAAUACCGACACGGUAACGCCCUGCAUUUUUAAAUAUAAGGUACCGUAAAAAUAACCAAUUAAAAAUUGGAUUAAAAAUUACGGUUUUAUAUCGACAAAUACCAAACCAAUUGGAACGUAUAUUUGUUUAUUUUAAAUUUUAUUUAUAACGCCGCGUAAUAUUCCAACUUUAAUAUAUACCCGUUAAAAAUAAUAUUCGGAACCGAACCCCGAAACCCGCUGUCCACCAACCUGCUAACCACGACCGUUAAUUUAAACCAAAAACAAAAAACGUUGCAAAUCGUCCGCCAAAUUAAAAAAAUCCAAAAAUUGGCCCGCCAAAACGCGUUAAAAACGCAGGCGAGGUAAGAAAAACAAAUUAAUAAAAAGCGGCGACCAGUAAAUUUUGGGGUUAACGAUUAUAUUUUUGUCAAAAAAAAAGGGUUUCCGACGACCGUACCGACGACCAAAUUGGAUUUAUAAUGGGCCGAAUUAUAAUAAAUUCGAAAAAAACAAAAAUAUAAUUAUAUUUUGGACGUAUUUAAAUUGUUUAAAAAAAAAAAUUUGUUCCACGCAAACCGUUUCCGCAAAACCGCAAUGGACCUAUUAUUAUAAUAAAAAAAAAACCGCUUCCGCCAAAAAAAAUUAACGGAAAACCAAAAUUUGUAAUCGAUAAAAUUUUAACGUCCCGAUUAUUUGGCCGGAAUAAAAUAUUAUAAUAUUAGGUUAUAUAAUAAAAAUAUAAUCCAAACGAUAUAUAAUAUCCGGUUAAAAAUUUUAAAAAUUUAGCGAUAAUUUUUAACGAUUUCCAUAAAAAAUAUAAAAAUGCCGCAAAACCGCCGAAACAAUUGGUAAUUUGGAUAAAAACCGUUGCCGAAAAUAAGUUGGACGAACCGAAUUAGGAGGAUAAUGUGGCAAAAUAUGGAAAUUUGAACGGUAAAAGGAAAAAUCGACGAUAUGGUUAAUUUAAUAAAAAUUUCGCAUAAUUUCCUGCGUUAAUAUACGAGGUUUGGAAAGGGGUAAUAUAAUAUUUAAAUUAUAAAAUUACCAGACCCUAACCCUAACCCUGGAUUAACGACCCACCAGGGUAAUAUUUUUAUUAACGUCGUUUUAAAUUUAAAAUUUUGUUUGUUUCUUUUCCUUUUUUUAAAAUAGAAUUUUCGUCGAUAAAUACCAAUAAACUAAUUUCCGUAUUAUAUUUACCCCGGGCCGUAAUAAUAAUAAUAUUAUGGGGUUUAAAUUUAAUUUUUCCAAAGACGUUGUUUAAAAACGUAAUAUCGCGGGUUUAACGGGUGGUAUUAUUAUUCCGGGUGGCGAAUUGGUUUUUAAAUUGGGCAAUAAUGGCCAAAAAAUUUUACAAUUGUAAUUAAAUAAUUAUAAUUUGGCCGGUAAUGUUUUUGUUUUUGUUUAUUAUUUCGUUUUUUAUUUGGACGAUAGGCGAGGGCGUUUUAUUUGGAAAUUUCGGAAUUUCGUUCCUGCCGUUUAACGUUUUGGCAAAAAUUUGGUGGGAAGGGUUUCGCGUUUUUCCUAAAUAUUUAAAAAUUAAUUCGUAUUUGUAUAAUCCGUUAAUUUCGAUAUUGUCGAUUGGUUAAUUUUGUUUUAUAUCGGAUUGGGGUUUAACGGGUUUUUCAGGUUUUAUAUUGGCGUUGGUAAAAGCGGGUUUUAUUAGUUUUGGGUUUAUUGGGGCAAUUGUAAUUUUUCCGUUUUAAUCCGAAUUUUCGGUAUUGGGAAUAGCAAUACCGGAAACCAAAUUAUUUGGUUUUGCUAAAUUUGCGUUUGUUACGCGUUGGGAUUGGCGAAUCGGUGGGCCGUAAUUUUUACGCGGCGAUAUUAAUUUCGCGAAUGGUAUUUUUUGUGGCCUAAUUUACCGUCGUGUAUAGCCGACGUGGUGAACGAUUAAAUAAAGAAAUUAAACGAUAUAUUUUAAUUGUUUUAUUAGCAAAUUAUAGCGAAUUUAAAAUUAUAUUACGGCCAGGUAUAUAUUGGAAAAUUUCAAUAUAUUAGGCGCUAUCGACGAAAAUUUUAAAUUAAAGAGAAAAGAGAAAUUACAAUCGACGACGCGUUUAAAAAACGCGUUUAAAUCCGGAGGUAGUGGAUUUUUGUCCAAUUCCUGGCUCGGUGUAAAGCCGAGUCGUGAUUUUGAGGGUAGGUCUAGGGGCCUGAUCCUUAUAUUAAAAAACAAAAUAACAACCGGAGUAACGUUACAAAUAUUAAAAAAAUAAAAAUUUUUUUUUAAAAAUGGAUAAAUUUUUAUUUAUUUUAUAAAUUACAAAACCGCGGAAUUUUCAACCGACGAAUUAUUCCGGCACUAAUUAAAAUAAAUAUAAAACCAAUUCCAAACUAUAAACGAAAAAAAAAAUUUAUACCAGAUUUUUUAUUAAUAGAAAAUAAACGAAAUUUAAUAUAAAAUUAUUUUUAAUAUAAAAAUAAUUAUAGUUUUUACGGCCGGAAUAGGGUAAAUUAAAAUAUUGCAACGCCGAAAACCGAAUAUUUAUAUUAAUAAAACCAGCCCAAAUAAAAUUACGGUGCGUUUUGGAACAGGAAAAGAUAUUACGGUAAUGGGAAAAAUAACGCUAAAUACCCAGGUCGGCGAAAUUACGUUCCACAUAAUAUUAAUAAAUAUACCAUUUUUAUUAUAUAUUUAAAAUAUAAAU
rnacentral:sRNA from 1 species